UAGUCCACGCCGUAAACGAUGUCUACUUGGAGGUUGUGGCCUUGAGCCGUGGCUUUCGGAGCUAACGCGUUAAGUAGACCGCCUGGGGAGUACGGUCGCAAGAUUAAAACUCAAAUGAAUUGACGGGGCCCGCACAAGCGGUGGAGCAUGUGGUUUAAUUCGAUGCAACGCGAAGAACCUUACCUACUCUUGACAUCCAGAGAAGCCAGUGGAGACACAGGUGUGCCUUCGGGAGCUCUGAGACAGGUGCUGCAUGGCUGUCGUCAGCUCGUGUUGUGAAAUGUUGGGUUAAGUCCCGCAACGAGCGCAACCCUUAUCCUUGUUUGCCAGCGAGUAAUGUCGGGGACUCUAACGAGACUGCCCGCGUAAGCGGAGAGGAAGGUGGGGACGACGUCAAAUCAUCAUGGCCUUUAUGCCUAGGGCUACACACGUGCUACAAUGGCAGGUACAGAGGGUUGCGAAGGGGUGACCUGGAGCUAAUCUCAGAAAGCCUGUCCCAGUUCGGAGUUG
rnacentral:rRNA from 1 species